GACUCUAGAAAAACCUUCUGCUGCAAAAAAGAAAAAAAAAAUCUGCGAGAGUGAAACAUUUCAGGCUGGAUUAUUAUUUGAGUGUAUUUUCGGCCCAAGUCCCGCCCACUAUCAUGAAGGGGGUGGAGCUUAUGACCUAUUUAGCUUCACUUUAAAGGAGCUGAGCAUCUCAUUUAAGACGUUGCUCUGCAGAAUAUUUCAAGGUCCUGAAGUCUGAUGCGUCCGUGGACGUGGGCUGAUAAGUUAUUGUUUUUUAAUGUGUUUUUAUUUCUGACGUCUCUGAGCUGCAGCCUCCAAACCAAACACAACCACCGGCCUCCGGAGGUUCAUAAAGGAUUUAAGAGAUAGGAGGAAUUUCACGCUCCGUUGUUUCACACCAACAUUUUCCACAGACUUUCUCUCCCAUAUAAGGUGUGUGUGUGUGUGUGUGUGUGUGUGUGUGUGUCCACUGACCCGUGCUGGCCUCCUUGUCUUUCCAGUGGACAGACUGACAGCCUUAUAUAGAGCUGUGCACGACGCCGCGAUGGUUCCUCCUGAAAGACUGAACCAGCCACAACAACCAGCCACAACAUUACGACCACCCUCCCAAUAUUCUCUGGGGUUAUCCUGAAGGCUGCAUCCUGCUGCCAUCAAGAAGUGUCAUUGCUAUGUGCUGGAGGAGGAACUGGUCUGAUCUAGGUGGUCUAAAAGCUUUCCAUUGUUCCCAAUAUAUCAAGCUCCGGACCUGGAGGAACCAGCAGAGCAGUGUCGACCUCUGGUGACAGAAAGCUGCAUUACAUGCCUGUUAACCAGUGGAAAGGAAAGAAUGGACUACGCAUCUAAU